rnacentral:rRNA from 1 species
GUACUGGCAUUGUUGGUUUCUCCCUUCUGACGAACCAUGGUGUCAUUUAUUUGGUGUUGUGGGGAAUCAGGACUGUUACUUUGAAAAAAUUAGAGUGUUUAAAGCAGGCUCACGCUUGAAUACAUUAGCAUGGAAUAAUGAAAUAGGACGUUUGAUUCUAUUUUGUUGGUUUCUAGGAUCGACGUAAUGAUUAAUAGGGAUAGUUGGGGGCAUUAGUAUUCAAUUGUCAGAGGUGAAAUUCUUGGAUUUAUUGAAGACUAACUACUGCGAAAGCAUUUGCCAAGGAUGUUUUCAUUAAUCAAGAACGAAAGUUAGGGGAUCGAAGACGAUCAGAUACCGUCGUAGUCUUAACCAUAAACUAUGCCGACUAGGGAUCGGAUGAUGUUAAUUUUUUAAUGACUCAUUCGGCGCCUUACG